UGUCUCAGACGGUAAAGAAUCUGCCUGCAAUGCAGGAGACCCAGGUUUGAUCCCUGG
rnacentral:tRNA from 1 species